rnacentral:rRNA from 1 species
UACAGAGGGUGCAAGCGUUGCUCGGAGUUACUGGGCGUAAAGCGUGCGCAGGCGGUGAUGUAAGACAGAUGUGAAAUCCCCGGGCUCAACCUGGGAACUGCAGUUGUGACUGCAUCGCUGGAGUGCGGCAGAGGGGGAUGGAAUUCCGCGUGUAGCAGUGAAAUGCGUAGAUAUGCGGAGGAACACCGAUGGCGAAGGCAAUCCCCUGGGCCUGCACUGACGCUCAUGCACGAAAGCGUGGGGAGCAAACAGG